UCUUCAAAACCCCACCGCCCACA
rnacentral:piRNA from 1 species